AGGAAUAUUGGUCAAUGGGCGUAAGCCUGAACCAGCCAAGUCGCGUGAGGGAUGAAGGUUCUAUGGAUCGUAAACCUCUUUUAUAAGGGAAUAAAGUGCGGGACGUGUCCCGUUUUGUAUGUACCUUAUGAAUAAGGAUCGGCUAACUCCGUGCCAGCAGCCGCGGUAAUACGGAGGAUCCGAGCGUUAUCCGGAUUUAUUGGGUUUAAAGGGUGCGUAGGCGGCCUUUUAAGUCAGCGGUGAAAGUCUGUGGCUCAACCAUAGAAUUGCCGUUGAAACUGGGGGGCUUGAGUAUGUUUGAGGCAGGCGGAAUGCGUGGUGUAGCGGUGAAAUGCUUAGAUAUCACGCAGAACCCCGAUUGCGAAGGCAGCCUGCCAAGCCAUGACUGACGCUGAUGCACGAAAGCGUGGGGAUCAAACAGGAUUAGAUACCCUGGUAGUCCACGCAGUAAACGAUGAUCACUAGCUGUUUGCGAUACACUGUAAGCGGCACAGCGAAAGCGUUAAGUGAUCCACCUGGGGAGUACGCCGGCAACGGUGAAACUCAAAGGAAUUGACGGGGGCCCGCACAAGCGGAGGAACAUGUGGUUUAAUUCGAUGAUACGCGAGGAACCUUACCCGGGUUUGAACGCAUUCGGACCGAGGUGGAAACACCUUUUCUAGCAAUAGCCGUUUGCGAGGUGCUGCAUGGUUGUCGUCAGCUCGUGCCGUGAGGUGUCGGCUUAAGUGCCAUAACGAGCGCAACCCUUGCCACUAGUUACUAACAGGUUAGGCUGAGGACUCUGGUGGGACUGCCAGCGUAAGCUGCGAGGAAGGCGGGGAUGACGUCAAAUCAGCACGGCCCUUACAUCCGGGGCGACACACGUGUUACAAUGGCGUGGACAAAGGGAAGCCACCUGGCGACAGGGAGCGAAUCCCCAAACCACGUCUCAGUUCGGAUCGGAGUCUGCAACCCGACUCCGUGAAGCUGGAUUCGCUAGUAAUCGCGCAUCAGCCAUGGCGCGGUGAAUACGUUCCCG
rnacentral:rRNA from 1 species